rnacentral:rRNA from 1 species
CCUACGGGGGGCAGCAGUGGGGGAUAUUGCACAAUGGGGGGAACCCUGAUGCAGCGACGCCGCGUGAGCGAUGGAGUACUUCGGUAUGUAAAGCUCUGUCAGCAGGGAAGAAAAUGACGGUACCUGACCAAGAAGCCCCGGCUAAAUACGUGCCAGCAGCCGCGGUAAUACGUAGGGGGCAAGCGUUAUCCGGAUUUACUGGGUGUAAAGGGAGCGUAGGCGGCAGGGCAAGCCUGAAGUGAAAGCCGGGGGCUCAACCCCGGGACUGCCUUGGAAACUGGCCGGCUGGAGUGCAGGAGGGGCAAGCGGAAUUCCUAGUGUAGCGGUGAAAUGCGUAGAUAUUAGGAGGAACACCAGUGGCGAAGGCGGCCUGCUGGACGGUGACUGACGCUGAGGCUCGAAAGCGUGGGGAGCAAACAGGAUUAGAUACCCUAGUAGUC